AUGACGUCAGGAGGAGGAGGCGAGCAUGGCUGCACGGAGCAGGGCCACCUGCCGGCGACCGACCGCCGUGGCCGCGACGAAGACGCCUCUCCCCAUUCCGCGCCGCCACUCCCCUUCCCCGAAGCAGCGCUCGAGAUGAAGAAGAAGCAGAAGCUGGUGCAGCAGCCCUCGCCGGAGAUCCCCGACAAUGCCGUCGUCGAGAUCCUGUCGCGGGUGCCCUACCGGUCGCUCUGCCGCUUCAAGUGCGUGUCCAAGCCGUGGCUCGCCCUCUGCUCCGACCCGGACAUCCGCAGGAGGAGCGGCUGCGGCCUCAGCUUCCGCAAUCUGUCCGGGAGAGGGCCCCCUCUGGUCGAUCCUUCGCUCCCGUUCCUGCGAGGGCGCUACGAGCGCGUCGAGAUCCAGCAGUGCUGCGGCGGCCUCCUCCUCUGCAGAUGCUGGGACUCGUAUAAAGGGCGGAACAAGAAGAAAUUCGGGUACGCUGUGUGCAAUCCUGCCACCGGGGAGUGGACUGUGCUGACCCUCAUUGUUUUGCCGGACCCGGUGGACGGCGUUCCUGUGAUCUACGAUGUGAACGAUCUCUUCCUGGGGUUUGACGCCGCUGUUCCGUCCCGCUUCGUGGUGUUUGCGCCCCUGAGCAAUUCCUUAGGCGAGUUCGCGCAGGUGGCCAUCUUCUCAUCGGAGACUAGGCGCUGGACUUCGGUGGAGAGUGAGUGGCCUUACAAAACCGUUCUUCUUGGUGGUACAGCUUGUGCCUACCUGAAUGGCACUAUGCAUCUGACUACCCAUCAUGGUACAAUAGUCACUGUCGACGCGGAGGGGAAGACUUGGAGGGAAAUUGAGGAUGUCAUGGAGGACAACCGUGAGGUUGUUUCCAUUGGGCAUUCCCAGGGCAGCUUGCAUGCUUGGCUGAUAGAUAAUGAUAAGGAUCCCGAACUCUGUGUUUGGGUUCUUGAGGAUUAUGCUAGUGGAAAGUGGACCCUGAAGCACACUGUUGAGAUAUCGGAACUUUUCGGGAGGCAGCCGGACAAAGAUGAAGCGUGCUAUAGCAUGCUUGCGAUCCAUCCAGAUUAUAAUUUGGUUUACCUCACCGACAACAAGAAGAUGACAGUGUCGUAUGAUAUGGAUACUCGGAAAGUUGAUGUUAUCUGCACUUCUGGAGAAUUACUGGUUGGUGCACCUUAUGUUCCUUGUUUUGUGGAAAUGUUGGCAGGGAGUCGCUGCUGCUUUAAUGUACUUGGAGUGGAAGCACUUCACAAAUACCAGUUGUUGGGUAUGAGCUUAAGUGUCUUGUUUUGUGGACUGGCUUGGAUAUAUAUGUCUCAGGCUCUCAGCUCCUAUGUCUACUUCAGUUUGUUGUUCCUAUCUGUUUGUGUUCAGAUGUGUGCCAUUUGUGGCUUUGAACAUCACUUAAUGUCUGAGGAACCCUCUGAUGGGUCAUUAUCGAGGUCACUUUGUUAG
rnacentral:rRNA from 1 species